CCAUAAAAUUAGUUAUAGCAACGCUUAAUGGGUACAAAAAUAUCUAUUGCAUCCUUUAUUUUAUUCCCUCAAUUUCACGAGAAAUUUCACUAUGUCCGCCAAAUAGAAAAUCAUUUUAAUAAAACUUUUCUGUUCUCUUAAAAAUUUCAUUCCUCUUAAACAUUUUAAUCGCUACAAUAUCAAUUUUGCGAAGAUGGCCGUGGAGACACUACAAUAUCUAGUAGUGAGCUGCCGGUGGUAAGCUUUGUGGGAUUUACUAGUGCCGCUUCAGAAAUUAAUUUACUGGUGCCAGCAGUAUUCUCUGUGGGAAAAGAAGAAAAAGGGAAACAACAUAUUUGCAAUUAGACUGACUUGGAAGAAACAAAAACACAAAAGCUAGCAAAGUCUCAAGAGGCUUUGGAAGCUAUGCAAAAAAAGUUGAUGCAGCAAAUGCAUUGGUUGUUAAGAAAUGAGAAGCUGCAGAAAAGGCUAUUAAAGAAGCGCCUCUUGUAAUCCAGGAAACUCCAUUUUAUGUCGAAGAUACUAAUAAAUUAAAAUCUCUAAUGGAAGAAAAUAAUAGUUUAAAGUAUAAGAAAUGCAGAAUUGUGAGGACUGGAAGCAGAAAUACACUGAGGCUCAAGAAUUUAGAGAACAAAGUCGCAGAAAGUUAGAAGAAAUAAAAAAAGGAGUUGUUCAAAGCCAAGAAUCCCUGAAAGGGUGUCCAAAACAAAGAAAUAAAUGAGGAAAGUGAUAAAAAUAUUGACCUUACUUAUGAAGAUUUUGGGAUUGUUGAUAGGUGCUCUAUUAUCAGUAUUUUUGAUAUUGAACUUCUUGAAACUUAGGGAGACUCAAACUUGAUAUUAUGUAAAAACUUAACUAAUCAUUUGGGUACUUAACAUUUUUAUUUUGGAUUUAUAUUACUAGUUUGUUCCAUAAA